UGCCCACACAGAGGAUUUGCCUUCACUCUCCCAGAGGCAGUUCAGCAGAAACAAGCUCCUCCAGGCUUAUUUGUCUGAGAAAGUCUUUGAUUCCUUCUCUUCUCAAAGUUCUGAACCCAGCUCAAGGGGCUGCAAGAAGG